AACGAACGCUGGCGGCAUGCUUUACACAUGCAAGUCGAACGGUAACAGGCCGCAAGGUGCUGACGAGUGGCGAACGGGUGAGUAAUGCAUCGGAACGUGCCCAGUCGUGGGGGAUAACGCAGCGAAAGCCGCGCUAAUACCGCAUACGAUCUAUGGAUGAAAGCGGGGGACCGUAAGGCCUCGCGCGAUUGGAGCGGCCGAUGUCAGAUUAGGUAGUUGGUGGGGUAAAGGCUCACCAAGCCAACGAUCUGUAGCUGGUCUGAGAGGACGACCAGCCACACUGGGACUGAGACACGGCCCAGCCUCCUACGGGAGGCAGCAGUGGGGAAUUUUGGACAAUGGGCGCAAGCCUGAUCCAGCAAUGCCGCGUGCAGGAAGAAGGCCUUCGGGUUGUAAACUGCUUUUGUACGGAACGAAAAGGCUCUGGUUAAUACCUGGGGCUCAUGACGGUACCGUAAGAAUAAGCACCGGCUAACUACGUGCCAGCCGCCGCGGUAAAAC
rnacentral:rRNA from 1 species